rnacentral:lncRNA from 1 species
GGGAGGGGUGGAGGGAAUGCAAACACGGAGGGAUCUGUGACCACACGUGCCUGGGGCUCUCCAUGGCAGUUGAGGAGCUGCAUGAGUGAGACAGACUGCUGAGAAGGACUUGCUGAUGGCCACCAACUCAUCUGCAGAGAGGGGUUCCACAGAGGCUGCAGCUGAGGUCCAGAAGUGUGCAAUUCUCAGCUGCGCUUUGCCCUUCCCAGGGUGACGACUGAAGAAUCAGAGUGUGGAAAAGAACGGUAGGAGGAAUUGGUGAGAACAUCCAGCUAGCAUCUUCAAGUCCUGUGGUGGGAGGCAGCAGUGCUGGUCCAAAGAGGACCCAGAGAGUGAACUCAGAGUGACCACAUCUGGUAGAAGAGGGGAAGAUGUAGUUACUGAGUCCAGUCCAGUGUUUGUGUCUCUCACAUUGCCAACAAAAGAAAGACUCCAGCUGGCCCCACAGACAUAUGGAUAUUCCAGGAGCCACG